AAACGAUCUCGGCAACG
rnacentral:rRNA from 1 species